rnacentral:lncRNA from 1 species
UUAUGAUGUUCGAUCUUAAUGUUAAUUGGGAACUUUGUUGCAAAUUUCUGAUAUGGCUAAUCUGUUAACACUUGACAUAAGUAAGUUCAUUCAGUCAAUUUUUUCCUCAAAAUACCAAUUCGAUCUGCUUGUGAAUUAGCGGAAUAUUUAUCAAUUGAAAUUAGUAUGUAUUCUACACAACUUAGGAUCAUGUUUGCAUUGAAAUCUCACCCAGUAGAUCUCAUGAUCAAAUUUGUAUUGAUGAUUAACACAACAUAAAUGUCAAACGCAAAAUGCAAUUUUAUUUUACAGUAUUUUUGUCAACAAAAGUGACAUUACUACCAAGUACAAACAUUGAUCUUUUACACUGU